UUUUUAGACCUUCCUGGAGGAGCUUGCCAUUAAACCGAUAACCCACGAGAGACCUCACCAGCCCUUGAAAUAAAGCAACUUGUAUACCAUCGUCGUCAGUUUACCUCUCAAGAAAAGUACACUUAAAGAAAUAACGUUCCUUACGUCAGAUCGAGGUGCAGUGUAUGGGCUGGGAAUGAGUGAGCUACAAUAGUAAACCAAAAUUAUCAUAUAAAUUUUAUUCUGAAGAGCUUUUUGAAAGAAAAAUUUGAAACAGGAUUCAGCAGUAAUACUUACACAGAAAAUAAGUAUGAAGCCAGCUCUAAAAUGCGC
rnacentral:rRNA from 1 species